rnacentral:rRNA from 1 species
UACGGGGGGAGCAAGCGUUGUUCGGAUUUACUGGGCGUAAAGGGCGCGUAGGCGGUCGUGACAAGUCACUUGUGAAAUCUCCGGGCUUAACUCGGAACGGUCAAGUGAUACUGUCGGACUAGAGUACAGAAGGGGCAACUGGAAUUCUCGGUGUAGCGGUGAAAUGGCGUAGAUAUCUGGAGGAACACCGGGUGGCGAAGGCGGCAUUCUGGACCGAUAUUGACGCUGAGGAGCGAAAGCCAGGGGAGCAACGGG